CUCGAGACGGCGGGGUAGAGGCCCGCCGCGGUAACGACGGUAACGGGGAAGUCAGGGUUCGAUUCCGGAGAGGGAGCCCGAGAAAACGGCUACCACUUCCAAGGAAGGCAGCAGGCGCGCAACUUACCCUAAUCUCGAUUCGAGGAGGUAGUGACAAGAAAUACCGAUGCGGGACCCUACGGGUGCCGCGUUCGGAAUGAGUACGAUUCGAACCACCUAACGAGGAACGAUCGGAGGGCAAGUCUGGUGCCAGCAGCCGCGGUAAUUCCAGCUCCAAUAGCGUACGUUAAAAGUUGCUGCAGUUAAAAAGACUCGUAGUUGAACGUUCGGGUUCCGCGGGACGGGGCCGCCCCGCGAGGGACGGCGCCGCCCCGGGGCUCGUGAUAUCUCAUCUCGCCGCCCGUCGCGAGGCGGACGGAGGGGAUGGAUGAGGUUACCUGGAAAAAAAUCGGGGCGAUCUAGGCGGG
rnacentral:rRNA from 1 species